GUCCACGCCCUAAACGAUGUCAACUAGGUGUUGGGAAGGUGACUUCCUUAGUACCGCAGCUAACGCGUGAAGUUGACCGCCUGGGGAGGUACGGCCGCAAGGUUAAAACUACAAAGGAAUUGACGGGGACCCGGCACAAGCGGUGGAUGAUGUGGAUUAAUUCGAUGCAACGCGAAAAACCUUAACCUACCCUUGACAUGCCAGGAACUCUGCUGAGAGGUGGAGGUGCCCGAAAGGGAGCCUGGACACAGGUGCUGCAUGGCUGUCGU
rnacentral:rRNA from 1 species